UUCAAUAAUUAAAAUAGAAUUUCUAGUAUUUUUAAACUAGAAUAUUCUUAUUUCUAAUUCUAUCCGUGCAUGAUAACUUAAAAUCCAUGCAAUUUAUAUGCAUGAAAUUAGUAAUAUAUAGUAAUUUAUUCAUCGUGAAGUCGUAUGUUGUCCAGACAAGCAAUAAAAGCAAUAUUAGCAAGACAAAGGAAUGGUUAUUGAACGUGCAAGGGAAAAGCAGACAAAAGAAAUUAAUUUAUGGGAGUAGCAAGUUCAUCAGAUUAUUAAAUUA
rnacentral:lncRNA from 1 species